rnacentral:rRNA from 1 species
UACGUAGGGUGCAAGCGUUGUCCGGAAUUAUUGGGCGUAAAGAGCUCGUAGGCGGUUUGUCGCGUCUGCUGUGAAAACCUAGGGCUUAACCCUGGGCCUGCAGUGGGUACGGGCAGACUAGAGUGCGGUAGGGGAGACUGGAAUUCCUGGUGUAGCGGUGAAAUGCGCAGAUAUCAGGAGGAACACCGAUGGCGAAGGCAGGUCACUGGGCCGCAACUGACGCUGAGGAGCGAAAGCAUGGGGAGCGAACAGG